rnacentral:rRNA from 1 species
ACGGGAGGCAGCAGUGGGGAAUAUUGGGCAAUGGGCGAAAGCCUGACCCAGCAACGCCGCGUGAAGGAAGAAGGCCUUCGGGUUGUAAACUUCUUUUAUCAGGGACGAAGGAAGUGACGGUACUUGAUGAAUAAGCCACGGCUAACUACGUGCCAGCAGCCGCGGUAAUACGUAGGUGGCAAGCGUUAUCCGGAUUUACUGGGUGUAAAGGGCGCGUAGGCGGGGAUGCAAGUCAGAUGUGAAAUCCAUGGGCUUAACCCAUGAACUGCAUUUGAAACUGUAUCUCUUGAGUGUCGGAGAGGUAGACGGAAUUCCUAGUGUAGCGGUGAAAUGCGUAGAUAUUAGGAGGAACACCAGUGGCGAAGGCGGUCUACUGGACGAUAACUGACGCUGAGGCGCGAAAGCGUGGGGAGCAAACAGGAUUAGAUACCCUGGUA